UUAAAAUGUCUUGUUUGGAUGAUAUAAGCAUAUCACUUACGAAGAAAUUAUAAAACAUCAUAAAUUCUUAAUAAUUAAAAAGUCACAAUUUUGUUUGUUUAUAAUAUAUAAACAGAAACAUUGGCUUACAAAUUUUAAUCACUUGAUACAAGCUCCCCAGUGGUACAGCGGUAUGUCUGCGGACUUACAACGCUAGAACCCGGGUUUCUCGCACUGAUAGCCUAUUGUGUAGCUUUGUGCUUAAUUACAAACAAACAAACUUGAUACAAAUCCCUAGCUUAGUCUUUCAUGAAUUUCCUCUGAUAGUUUGAGAUUUAACUUCUUAAACCUGAACGGAUGGUGCCAGCGUCUGGCCAAAAAUCCCAAUUUACUCAUCGGACGGUUACAGUGUCCAAUAACAUUUAUGUCUCUUUGGCUGCAAACUAAUCCAAACCAUCUUAUUGUCUACCUUUUAUAAACAGACUGAAAAUUUUAUAAGUUAGGGUGAUAAUUAUUAGGAUAAUUCUGGCAGAAUGUGCAAACAAUCCUGGGUUUAAAGAGUUAAGACCACUGAUGAAUUACACAGAGUGUGCAAUAAAAAUAUAUCAACUGUGUAGUUGAAUAUUUAAAGUUUUAAUGUCAGAAUUUUGAAUUUGAAGUCUGAGAAAACUUCAAAUUCUUUUGAAGCACUGUAUGAACUAAAUAGUUUAAUCAAAUUAUAUUUUUACAUGAUAUUGAUGCAUUUUAAGUCAAAUUAUCCUGUUAAACAAUUUCAUUGUUUUAAAAAAAAAAACUAUCAUUAUAGAGAAUAGAAGGAAGUCUUUUAAUUACAAACAGCUUCAAGAUGAUAAAAUUAGAUUUAUUUCAAAGAGUACAUACAAUGUAUUCUUAUAAAUAAAUCAAAUUUUUACCCACUUAAAGCUGUAGAGCUUUUAAUUAAAUUUAUUUAUGGAAGUGAAAUUAUUUUCUAAAAGUAUAAAACCAAAUUGUGUGCAUUUGUUUAUUGUAUGAUCCUUUAUAAUUUUGUUGAUUUCCUAAAUAAGCACAUCAAAAUGUUCAUCAAGGAAUUUAUCAUAAAAACUGAGAAAAUGUUAAUAUUUUAACAGUUUAUCUGUUAAGUUUGUUUUAGUGAGGAGUUGAUAACCUGUUGUUAUCUUUUUUAAAACCUGUAGCUCAAACACUUAUAAACAGAGCACGGUGUUCAAUUUUCCACAGUUUUCUUCCCUACAAAACCACAAUGAACUACAUUAACAGUGAUGUUUACUCUACCAAGCCACUUAUUUGCAUCGCUAGAGAUUAUGAUAAUUGAAUUCACUCUUUCUGUUUUUCAUAUCUAGGAAGCGUAACAAACCAAGCCAACUGUAUUUUGAAAGCAAUAGAUCAUGACGCACCAAAUUAAUCUAUAAAGGGCACAGCUUAAAUCAGUAUAAGUACAUAGCUAUGAAAAAUUAAUUACAAAUUAUGAUUAAAAAAAUUAAUGAAAUGUAAAAUAUUUGCAGCUUCUUUCUGUCUUUGUCAUGAUAGUCCUGUCAUUCUAAUACCUACUAUUCUGUGCAUCAAGAGAGGUUUAGGGUCUUUGUCAUGAUAGUCCUGUCAUUCUAAUAACUACUAUUCUGUGCAUCAAGAGAGGUUUAGGGUCUUUGGCAUGAUAGUCCUGUCAUUCUAAUAAUUACCAUUCUGUGCAUCAAGAGAGGUUUAGGGUCUUUGUCAUGAUAGUCCUGUCAUUCUAAUACCUACCAUUCUGUGCAUCAAGAGAGGUUUAGGGUCUUUGGCAUGAUAGUCCUGUCAUUCUAAUACCUACCAUUCUGUGCAUCAAGAGAGGUUUAGGGUCUAUGUCAUGAUAGUCCUGUCAUUCUAAUACCUACCUUUCUGUGCAUCAAGAGAGGUUUAGGGAAAAAUUGGCAAGAUCAAGAUAUUUCCAUUGAUUGUGGAUUGCAAAACUAUUACCAAUUGUAGAAAUGUGAGAAUUUGAGGAAUAUAUAACUUGAUGGCUUGUUUCUGUGAAGCUUCACUUGAAUGUAUCAUAUACGAUACUUCAAAUGAGGAGAAAUAUGGGAGGAUUUAUGAUACAUGCACCAUUUCCCGUAGUUCUUUCCAUGGGGUGGUGGUGGAUGCAUUCCCCUACUUCAUGAAUAAUGUUUAAUAUAAUCCCCCCAAACUAAUAUUUCAGUAACUAAACCUUCAGUUAUUAGAAAUAUUUCUUCUUUCUUUGUUUCAGUGGUGUGUUCUAUUGUUGAUAAUUAACCCUCCCUCCCACAGAUUUCACAAGGGAAUUUUACAUUCUAUAUUAUAUCCUGUUCAACAAGGCCUAACAUUUUUUUCAUUCACCCAUUUGGUAUAGAAAAAAUGAAAGCUAGUAUCGUGUUCCCUAGUUUGUUUUUCUAUUUUGAGCAAUAUUUUCUUCUUAGUAGCUUAAUGAUUUCAAGUUAACUUUCAAAUUUUACUCAUUUCACCAAUAUGGUGAUAAUUUAUAGGUAAUAAGUACAAAAGUACUUAUUCCUAUACAAUAAGCACCCGGCUUUUAAAUUUCCUCAUGCAUGUUGCCCCUAAAUCUUCCACAAGUUGUUAAUUACUUCUCCAGUAUUUUAAUAAAACUUAUGAAAAUUUCUCUUCAAUUAAAAACCCUUUUUAAACACUUCUUCUUAGAACCAGUAAAAAAUAACCAAAUUAUUGGAGAUUAUCUUUAGGUUGUUAAAUUUAUGGCAUAAUGCUAGAUUACUCAUUUUCUCUAGAUGCAUUGGAUUUUCUGGCUUUGUGAGAUUUUUUUUGGUAACUGACAUUCUUCAGUUUUUGACUGUUUUGAUGAGGCAUAAUAAAAACACAAUGACUAAUACGUCACCACAAUUUGCAUUUAUCUCUUCUCAAUUCUUCAACUUGGUGGAAGAAGGGCAGCUCAAUCUAUAAGUCGGAUACACUUUUCACUAUAACUAUUAUAUAUGGUGAAUUAAAGCCGUUUAUUUCCAUGUAUGUAGAAAUUUUAUUAUUCCAAGACCCACCAAUAUAUCUUUAGUUAGCAGCUUUAAUAUGGCAAAAAUAUUUUGAUCUCCAUUGCUACUAAUGAUGAUACAAGAAAUUCCUUCUGUUUCCAUGGCUACUUUCCAUGAUACCACAUAUUCUUCCCGUUUCCAUAGCUACUAAUUGCUAUACAACAAUAUCCUUGAAGUUUCAUAGCCACUAAACAUUAUACAAUAAAUUCCAUUUAUUUUCUUAACUACUUAUCACAUGUAACAAAUCUGUUCAGUUUCUAUGGGUUACAUGUAGCUUUGUAGGAUUAACCAAUGUAAUUCUUACAUGACUGUGUUUGAGAUUUCUUUCACAAAGUAAUUCCUCCUCAAUGUAAUUUUUGUUAAAUCUGUUGUAAGUGCCUUGAACUUAUGACAACCUGUAAGUUAAAUAUUUAUCCAAAUAAUUUUGUUGCAUUUUGAGGAGACAAAUGUUAUAUAUAUGUGAAGUAUCAGAUUACCUUGUUUUUAAGCAUCUCAGUUUUUAUGUGAAAAUAGUAUUUUGUAUGAAAAAACAUUAAUAAAUGUUAAUUCGGUCAAAAUUGGGUAGAGAGUGGGAACUGUUAGCUAUGGACAUAUGUUUUCCAGUUUACCACAGAAAUGUUAAUCUACACCAGGUAAAUAUGUCCAAACUUCCAUAGUUCAGUCGAUAAACAUACAUUUUUAAAUUUAAAAGUGUGGUAUCUGACUUACAAAUGGCAACGUUUUACAAAAAUGUAAUCAAGAAAGUAUAAUUUUGUCAAAAAUCAUGUGGGAAGUAGGGUGUCUGUUUGUUUUUAAUGACAUGAACUUUUCUACUUGUUAUUGCAAUUCAAGAAUUAUUGUAAAAUAGAGGGAUAAUUAUUUGGAAGAGUGAUAUAUCAGUGAGAUAUCCUGUUUGUUUUUUAAUCAAAUAACAGUACCAGACUAUUAUAAAAUUAUUACACGUGUAGUUUUUACUUUUGCUUUAAUAGUGACAUGUCGUAAUACUGAAAUUAUCACUGUUAAUGUGUUGAACAAGGUUCUUGUACCGUUGUUGACAAGUUUUAGCACUACUGUGUUACUCCGUUUUUUCAUUCUUGAUAACAACAGGCGUAUUUGUGUGGUAAAAGAUUCUUUUAAGCCUAAUUCAUUGUCUUAGUAAAACGAAGUUUACUCGUUGUUAUUCAUUGUCAGUAUAUCACAAAGUUUUUGAUGGAAAUGUUCGUGUAUAUCAUAAAAUCCGUAAAUUACAAUAAGAAUUUGUCGUCUUAACAUCAUAAAAGGAUAACGAUAAGAAAAAUAGAUUUUGAAAGCAAAUUUGAAAACACCAUAAGUUUCAGAUACAGCGGUUUUAUAAGUUUUUGGAAAUGUAUGAGUUUAUUGGAACAUUAAAACGAAGCAAAUGGA